UACAGAGGGUGCGAGCGUUAAUCGGAAUUACUGGGCGUAAAGCGUGCGUAGACGGUUAUUUAAGUCGGGUGUGAAAGCCCCGGGCUCAACCUGGGAAUUGCAUUCGAGACUGAAUAGCUAGGGUGCGGUAGAGGGAAGCGGAAUUUCCGGUGUAGCGGUGAAAUGCGUAGAUAUCGGAAGGAACAUCAGUGACGAAAGCGGCUUCCUGGACCAGCACCGACGUCAGGCACGAAAGCGUGGGGAGCAAACAGGA
rnacentral:rRNA from 1 species